rfam:Fusobacterium sp. CAG:439 genomic scaffold, scf110
GGGCGAUUAGCGCAGUUGGUAGCGCACCACAUUGACGUUGUGGGGGUCACGUGUUCGAGUCACGUAUCGCCCA